CGGGUGAGUAACACGUAUGCAACCUGCCUGCCACAGCCGGAUAAUCGGGAGAAAUUCCGUCUAAUACGGCAUAAUGCAUCGACGGGACAUCCUGUUGGUGCCAAAGGUUAAUUCCGGUGGCGGAUGGGCAUGCGCCGCAUUAGUUAGUUGGCGGUGUAACGGACCACCAAGACGACGAUGCGUAGGGGUUCUGAGAGGAAGGUCCCCCACACUGGUACUGAGACACGGACCAGACUCCUACGGGAGGCAGCAG
rnacentral:rRNA from 1 species